UACGUAGGGUGCGAGCGUUGUCCGGAAUUACUGGGCGUAAAGAGCUCGUAGGCGGUUUGUCGCGUUGUUCGUGAAAACUCACAGCUCAACUGUGGGCGUGCGGGCGAUACGGGCAGACUGGAGUACUGCAGGGGAGACUGGAAUUCCUGGUGUAGCGGUGGAAUGCGCAGAUAUCAGGAGGAACACCAAUUGCGAAGGCAGCUCGCUGGAACGUAACUGACGCUGAGACGCGAAAGCGUGGGGAGCAAACAGG
rnacentral:rRNA from 1 species